UCACCUAUGACUCACCUGUGGCUGAAAACACUUUAACCAGCUCAGUGUCUCUGAAAGUAGCCAAUGAAACCCUGUGCUGUCCCACUAACAUUACCUACUAUCCAGAGCCCGAGUUUACUGGAUUCACAUCCAUAAGGAUGGCGCACUGUGUGUACAUCGUAAUAGAGAAAACGGCAGACAAACUGCAGAUGACAGCAGAGGAGUUGUCAGGAUGGGGCGUUCAGGCAGAAACGCAGUACGCCUGCAUCAUGAAGACCAAAGAUACCAAAGUACAUUUUCCUCUGUCAUAUUCAAAGCUCACCGGGAUGCGGAAUUUCAGCACUUCAUGAUAACAUAUGGUGACAAGACAGUGAGACUUGGGCCUCCAUCUUUAUCACAUCAGGUCCUUGUGAUGCUGCGUAUGCUGUUGAUACCCUGUGUUAUUGUUGGCAAGUACAUUACAGUACAAACACUGAGUGUUUAUAUGAAAGCCUGAUCCUGAAUCAGUUUUAACAAUGUUUCAAUUAGAUUCUGUAUAAUUAUGAAUAAGUAUGUGAAAUUACACAGUGUUAUGCUGAAAAAAAGUUUUCUUCUACUUUCUUCUACUUUCUAGAAUGGUGGUAGAAAUAGUGAUUUAGAA